rnacentral:rRNA from 1 species
GUGGGGAAUAUUGCACAAUGGGCGAAAGCCUGAUGCAGCAACGCCGCGUGAGGGACGACGGCCUUCGGGUUGUAAACCUCUUUUAGUAGGGAAGAAGCGAAAGUGACGGUACCUGCAGAAAAAGCACCGGCUAACUACGUGCCAGCAGCCGCGGUAAUACGUAGGGUGCAAGCGUUAUCCGGAAUUAUUGGGCGUAAAGAGCUCGUAGGCGGUCUGUCGCGUCUGCUGUGAAAACUGGAGGCUCAACCUCCAGCCUGCAGUGGGUACGGGCAGACUAGAGUGCGGUAGGGGAGAGUGGAAUUCCUGGUGUAGCGGUGGAAUGCGCAGAUAUCAGGAGGAACACCGAUGGCGAAGGCAGAUCUCUGGGCCGUAACUGACGCUGAGGAGCGAAAGCGUGGGGAGCGAACAGGAUUAGAUACCCGAGUAGUCC